rnacentral:rRNA from 1 species
UACGGGGGGAGCAAGCGUUGUUCGGAUUUACUGGGCGUAAAGGGCGCGUAGGCGGUCAGCACAAGUCAGUUGUGAAAUCUCCGGGCUUAACCCAGAAAGGUCAACCGAUACUGCGGGGCUAGAGUGCAGAAGGGGCAACUGGAAUUCUCGGUGUAGCGGUGAAAUGCGUAGAUAUCGAGAGGAACACCUGCGGCGAAGGCGGGUUGCUGGGCUGACACUGACGCUGAAGCGCGAAAGCUAGGGGAGCGAACGGG